GAAAGGUCCAUUCGGUGGGGAGGCUGAUGGGCCGGGCCCCUAGCCUGAGCUCAGUGCCUCCUCCAGAGGCCUACCUGGAGCUCUGGAUAAAGGUGGGGUCCAGGUGUAGGUGGUGGUCGGUGGGGAGGCAAGACUGCCAGUAGCCGCCAGGAAGUCAGGGCACAGGAAGUCGUGGGGUGGGGUCUGGGUAUUCGCCCACUGUGGGCGGGACCAGAGGAAACCACUAACAGACAAAGUACUCGGCCUGCGGGUCUCUCUCCCAGCCCCUCUGAACACGUGGUGUUCCCAUGCUCUCGGACCUGGGCCCUAUGUGGUAGGAGAGAAUCUGAGCGCUGAGGACACGACAAUUCCUGGUGGCUUAUAGCAGGAGCAGAUGGGCUUGCUGGAGGUCUCAGGUGCACCCAAAUGGGAGCUGGGAGAGCCUGAAGACAAAUGGGACUAUCCAGCCAAGCCAAGAAUGGUUACACUUCUGUUACAAGAUCAGACUUUGCACAAACUGAUGGGAACCAAAAACAAAUGAAGAGGAUUGAAGAUGAACCCACAUUUCAAAAGUCCUUGUCUGCUGGAGGUGGCAUUACCUGUGACCUCGCCUCACUUCUUCGUAUAUGGCUGUUGUAGCAGGUACAUUGUAAAGAAGCAUGAUUGUUUCUAGAAAUGCAAAAACAGGUGGCAAAAUUAUAAAACAUGUGGACAUUCCAAAGAAUAUUUGAUGAUGUUUUUAAAAGCCUUCAAGCUACAAGCCCUGGAUCCCUAAGAAUUGCUCACUGAAGCAAAAAACAUGGCAAGAUGUUGGGGAUCAAAGCUGAGUGAAGAGCAGACCUACAAAGCCUUGGUGGAAUAAUUCUUGAAAACAUGGCUGAUGAGGGAAGAAAAAGCAAAGUGUUGGAACUUUGGGAUCAAACCAUCCUAGGUGUCUAAUACAAGGUAAAUGAAAUGGUAAAAUAAAAUAUGUCUUUUUGUACUUAUUACAUACAUGAUUAAUUCAGUUUGAAUACACAAACACGUAAGGAUUCAAAAAAGUGAAUAGGCACAAGGGAAGAAUCUGGAAAGCAUACAAACAGCUAACAGUGUCUAACUUUCUAGAGUGAUGUUUCCAAUGGCUUGCCUUCAACUUUUAAUUUUAUACUUGUCUGAAAUUUCUAAAUGUUGAAAGUGAGAAAAGCUUACAUUCAAGAUUAUUUUUCUUAAAAAUCAAGAAACCAACAUAUACCAAUAUGUAGUUAAGAAAAGGGUAUAUCAAAAGAUGUAUUUUUCUUCUAAAAAUGUGCACAAGUCUAUGUACAUGCAAGACUUAAAGGCCUCAGACUUAAUUUUUAUGAAAAUGUAAUAUUUCCAAAUUCUGCUUGUCAGAAAAUCCAGUUUUCUAAAGCAUAUUUGAUGUCAUAUGAAGAGGCUUAUGUGAUGUAAGACCUGAGAAAACAAUAAUAGAAGGAAGCAACUUGAAUGGCAAGGAUAUUCUAUGUGUAUCAUGAAGUCCAAAGCCAUACCAACAGAUCCCGACAGCCUGCACACAUGUGCCCACACAUACACAAGUAUGUAAUAAAUGUAACAUAAAGGAGCAGAAUGCAAUAGGUCCAACAUCAGUGGCAUAUUUAUUGAGUCCCUGUGAAUUAAGAGUAUCAUUUUUUUGCUCAAUUUACUGAUUCUUUUCCAGAUGCAAGUUAUUCUUAUCAACAAUGAAGGAAUAUUAUGUGAUUUAACCAAAAAAAAAAUUAUCAGGUUGCUCAUU